CUUCCAGAAAGAGAAUGAGAACUGCUUUGGAGAGUCACUGAUUUCGCCUGAUGCCUUCGGAGAGAGUCCGGUGGAGGCUUUGAGGAAAGGAUGUCCCUUAGUCAAGUUUUUGUUUCAAAUAAUCGCCAAUGUUCCAAAGCUGGUUUUCUGCGCAGGUAGCACAUGAGCAGAGAUGUCAAAGGAUGCUAGAACACCGGAGGAUUGAUUCGUCGGGAACCUUUUCUCCUAAGAAACUUCUUCUGUGGUGAAGUCGAGCCCUGGCCCGAGUCAGAGACAGCUGGAUCCCUUCCCCAGAAAUCAUCUGAGCAGGAGGAGAAAAUGCAAACAGGAUGACUGAGGAAAAGCAGGCGACCCUUGAAAUGAAGCAGCACCCCAAACAGCCAAAAAACCAAUGGAGAAAGACAAAAUCUACGACACUCACACACGCGCCCAAGGGUGCCCAGCCUCACAACCGCACGCCGGGAUUAUGGAAGCACCGAUCCCUCACUUUGAGCAUCGGCGGGGACUUCUCCUUCUGGACAAUUCUCCUCCUUAAAGCAACUCACGCAGUGUUUCUAUAAGCCCCAUCAACCUCCGGGCUCUUACUACUGCCCUGUUGAGUUCAGCUAACAACAAAUUUAGAAAAAAAAAAAAGAGUACAUCCUUCAUGUGGUUGGAAAGAUGGAAAACUCAGCACAUCACAUUGGUCUGGGAACUCAUCCAGCCCUGCACUCAAGGGCUCAGAAACAACCCCAUUUCUCCCCAGCUAUUUUCCUUGCCUCCAAAGGGCCAACCACCUCCCAAAGGCAAAAACAAAAAAGCCCUUUAAAAAGAGAGAGCUGGAGAGAAAGGCUUUCAGUUGCUGCUUUGAAAUCCAAAAGGUGGCAUUUCCUCUCCACUUUGGCCACUGUUAUGGGAUGCAGGCUUACAGCAGGGAAGUUUGGACUACCAUGUAUUAAAAAAAACUGCAACAUUAACAGAGCAUAUACCUUCCCAAAAUACUAAAACACUAACAGAUACAAGUCAAUCAAUGCACAUAUGCUUAAACUAGUGUAAAUUUUUCCCAAACUGGAUUAAACGUUAUUUUGUUCAGCAGACAACGCACGCUGUUCAUCUCCCUUCCUUCAUGCAAACAUGCCCCUUCUGCCACAAAGAGGAGGAACCUUCUUACAGACUGGGGGACCUUCACGCUCCCUCCCAACGACAAAACCAGAAGCGAUCCCCAAAUCACCACUUCCCCCAGAACUUCGUGAACAGUUACCAACCCGGACAGCGGGCUAAUACUUCAGUGGCAGAAGUCGCAGGCUUGGGAGAUGGGUAGGUGUCUUUACGUGCCAUCCCCACCACGGGCCCUGCCACCCGGU